UACGAAGGGGGCUAGCGUUGCUCGGAAUCACUGGGCGUAAAGGGCGCGUAGGCGGCCGAUCAAGUCGGGGGUGAAAGCCUGUGGCUCAACCACAGAAUUGCCUUCGAUACUGUUUGGCUUGAGACCGGAAGAGGUAAGUGGAACUGCGAGUGUAGAGGUGAAAUUCGUAGAUAUUCGGAAGAACACCAGUGGCGAAGGCGGCUCACUGGACUGGUAUUGACGCUGAGGUGCGAAAGCGUGGGGAGCAAACAGG
rnacentral:rRNA from 1 species